rnacentral:rRNA from 1 species
CUUGAACGCUGGCGGCAGGCCUAACACCUGCAAGUCGAACGAGUGGCGGACGGGUGAGUAAUGUCUGGGAAACUGCCCGAUGGAGGGGGAUAACUACUGGAAACGGUAGCUAAUACCGCAUACCAUCGGAUGUGCCCAGAUGGGAUUAGCUAGUAGGUGGGGUAACGGCUCACCUCGGCGACGAUCCCUAGCUGGUCUGAGCGGAUGACCAGCCACACGGUAACUGAGACACGGUCCAGAGUCCUACGGUGAGCAGCAGUGGGGAAUAUUGCACAAUGGGCGCAAGCCUGAUGCGGCCAUGCCGCGUGUAUGAAGAAGGCCUUCGGGUUGUAAAGUACGUUCAGCGGUGAGGCGUUACCCGCAGAAGAAGCACCGGCUAACGCCGUGCCAGCAGCCGCGGUAAUAC